rnacentral:lncRNA from 1 species
CUCCGCCCGGCCCAGCGGGGCGACAGCCGGGCGUGUGGAGCUCGCGGAGAGCCGUCCCGGCUGCGGGCGCGGCGGGGCUGGGGCGCGUUCCGGGGCGCCCGGGAGCAGCGCCUCGCCUGGGCUCCGGAAGCCGCGGGGCUCCAGUUCCAGAUGCAGAAGCCAUGGAGUUGAGCUGCAGCAAAGUCCCUCUUUACGGAUCAAACUCAGGUCCUUGUGCUUGCGCAGCAAGUGGCGAAACCACUGAGGUAAAUUCCCGGCCCGUAAGUUCUUAUUUUUUUCCCCAUUACCUGUGCGCCCCUCACCCCCUCCACCC